rnacentral:rRNA from 1 species
UACGAAGGGGCUAGCGUUGCUCGGAAUCACUGGGCGUAAAGGGUGCGUAGGCGGGUCUUUAAGUCAGGGGUGAAAUCCUGGAGCUCAACUCCAGAACUGCCUUUGAUACUGAAGAUCUUGAGUUCGGGAGAGGUGAGUGGAACUGCGAGUGUAGAGGUGAAAUUCGUAGAUAUUGCAAGAACACCAGUGGCGAAGGCGGCUCACUGGCCCGAUACUGACGCUGAGGUGCGAAAGCGUGGGGAGC